GCUGGGAUGGCCGAGUAGUUAAGGCGAGUGAUUUGAAUUUGAUUACGUAAUUAACUACAUUACUACCUCAUUAUCACUUGGUGUUUCACCGCGUAGGUUCAAAUCCUGCUCUCAGCG